CCUACGGGUGGCUGCAGUGGGGAAUAUUGCACAAUGGGGGAAACCCUGAUGCAGCGACGCCGCGUGAGUGAAGAAGUAUUACGGUAUGUAAAGCCCUGUCAGCCGGGAAGAAAAUGACGGUACCUGACCACGAAUCCCCGGCUAACUACGUGCCAGCAGCCGCGGUCAUACGUAGGGGGCAAGCGUUAUCCGGAAUUACUGGGGGUAAAGGGUGAGUAGGCGGCAUGGUAAGGCAGAUGUGAAAGCCUUGGGCUUAACCCGAGGUGUGCAUUUGGAACUAUCAAGCUGGAGUGCAGGAGAGGAAAGCGGAAUUCCUAGUGUAGCGGUGAAAUGCGUAGAUAUUAGGAAGAACACCAGUGGCGAAGGCGGCUUACUGGACUGAAACUGAUGCUGAGGCACGAAAGCGUGGGGAGCGAACAGGAUUAGAUACCCCUGUAGUC
rnacentral:rRNA from 1 species